rnacentral:lncRNA from 1 species
CUUCUGCUUAAGCAUGCAGGUGAGAAGGGAAGAUACAUGUAAUCUGCAUGUCUGCCACCAUUCCUUGUUACCCUUUUUCAUAUCCCAUGAGCACAGCACUCCAGCGGACCUACCCAAAAUAUGUGGGAGUUCAGUGAAACUCAAACAGCAUGCUUCUGGUCAGCCUAUACAGUCUCUGUCCUGGUGAGGAGCAUGAUCACCAACAGGCAAGAUCUUCUGGCCUUGAAGUUUCGCUUGAGUUAAAAGAGCUCAUCUCAGGACUUUCUGAAUUUUCAGCCCAUAUGACAUGGAAGAAGAGUUAGAAGGGGAAUCUGACUGCUUGGAUCAGGGACUGUCUGGCUGGUGGAACUUGAAUGUAUACAACACUCUUCAUUUGCAUGUUUUGACAUUUUAAAAAAUGUUUUCACUUUCCUUAUCUACUUUGACUCUAAUAACAUCCUGAAAGGUGCUGUUGUCCUCUUUCUGGACCUUAGAGAUGUACAGUGCGCCACUCUGAGGAUCAAGUCUGACCCUGCCUUUAAAUUUGGAUUCAAAGUACUUAGAUUUUCUGGAAUCCCAUUCUACAAUCUUCUGGUCGAAAGUAUAAAACCAGUCUGCAGGUGUACCCAACAGCUCCGAAGAGACAGUGACAUCGAGAACGGGCCAUGAUGACGAUGGCGGUUUUGUCGAAAAGAAAAGGGGGAAAUGUGGGGAAAAGCAAGAGAGAUGAGAUUGUUACUGUGUCUGUAUAGAAAGAAGUAGACAUAGGAGACUCCAUUUUGUUCUGUACUAAGAAAAAUUCUUCUGCCUUGAGAUGCUGUUAAUCUAUGACCUUACCCCCAACCCCGUGCUCUCUGAAACAUGUGCUGUGUCAAACUCAGGGUUAAAUGGAUUAAGGGCGGUGCAAGAUGUGCUUUGUUAAACAGAUGCUUGAAGGCAGCAUG